UUGACAGCUCCCUGACUCAAUCAACGCCUCCUCCCGUUAGCUCGUAGUAGCAGAGCGAAAAUGGCGUAGAGCGAAGGGUGUCAGGAGCAGAGGGACGACGGGACCUUCUUCUCUCCUCUUCGGCGUGUUUUACGGGGAGAGAAGAGGGUCCAGAGGUUUUGGGUUUAUCCUUCUUGAAUCGUGUCCUCACCGACGCGGUCCCUGUCGGCGGCAUAAACCCGGCGUCCGUCCGGUUGGGCUGAGCUCCGGUGUGUCACCAUAGAGGAAGAAGAACCCCCCCUGGCUUUUGUUUACCAUUGUGUGCAGCUGCAGCCUAAAGCUCAGAGGAAAUAUCUGAGCAUCAUGUCAGAGCUGCUGUCACCAAGGCAGAGAUUUCCAGCUAAUAGAGUCAUGAAACCAGCUGAAGCCCAAACUGGAGAGACGUCUCUCUUCAGAGGAGCUUCACCAACACAUCGCCUCCAUCGCCGCCCAGAAGACCCGCGGAGGUAAAGAGUCACAGUCGGGAUGACCUGUUUGGGGCUUCUGGGACUCGGGUGUCCUCCUUCCUACUGUUGCCGGGACAUCGGGCAUCUCUCCUUCAUAGUAUCCCCUCUAGUCCCGACCUGUUUCUGCGGCCCAAUCAUCCACAAUGAGGACAUCUGCCAGCAUUUCAGGCUGUCUGACCUCCAUCGUACUCGGUCUGGUUACGUCUACAUGUAGCCUAGCGUUAGCCUUGCUGGCCAUAUGUAAACAUAGUCAGUAAAACUUCCCUAAAAAGUAUAAAUCACGAUUACGAUCAAAUUAUCUGCUAAUAUUUUCUGUGAUGAAAGUAAAGACACAAGAUACUGUAGCAAAGAUCAAGGCCUGUGAUUUAAAUUAGACACAUUGUGGGUUUUUUUUUUGUUUGUUUUUCGCACUACCUCAUUGCCAUAGCAAGUCCAACAGGAGUGAAAAGGAUCAGUACCAGUAGCUUCAUGGCUGUCAAGCACCACAGCAGUUUUAUGUGUAUUGUUCCUCGGUUUUUAGUUUUCUGGAGACUUAAUAAGGGAGGUGGUUGACGGGUAAAUAGCAGACAACUGAGCAGCCCACAUGCACAUGAUGCACACUGUCAUUUACUUAUUUUAAUUCACUCAAACUGUGCAUACACUCCUAUGCAUCUACUUUUUAAAGAAGGUUUUUGACGCCAUGUUGUCGUUUUCGCAAAAUUGGCAGUAUUUUCCUCAUGUUCAGCCCUUGAAAAAGAAAUUUGGCAACUUGUGGUGUCCUAACUUUGUCUAUUUAGAGUCCAAUUUUUCUUAUUUUUUAGUCUUUUCCACUAGGGUAGUCAGGUUUAUUUCUUUUAUGCCAUUAAUCCUGACAAAGUAAUCUAACAAUAGAUUAGUUUCCCUGCAAAAUGUAUCAUUUUUUUGCUUUUACUGACCUCUUCUCCUUACCCGAGGGAACCCCUGGUCUCAUUUGUCGCCUUUCUUUGGUUCACUUUUAUGAUUUUCGUAAAAAGUUUUUUGAAAAAAAAUCACAUUUUACCGGGAUUUGUGCAAUAUUUGAUCUUAACUGUCAUGUUGUUGACCAAACUGUAUAUUGUAUAAACAAGUGACAAGUUGUUUGAAAGCAACAAAAUCACCAAUGUCUUCCAUUAAGAUAUGUAUAGACUCAUGUGCAUUAGCUUAUUUAGCGGGACUGUGGUGCCAACAGUAUAGUAGCCAUGCAUGACCAGUAGUGAUGCUUGCUUCAUGAAGAAUAGUGAAAUCCAACUUCUAGACUAAGCUGGAGCUCAAAACUAUGGAAACCAUUCCAGUACAGCCAAACGGUGGUAGAUCGACGUAAAAACGCCACAUUUAGAUUCAGCUUUUGCCCUAAAAUCCUAUUUUUUGUUCCACGUUUAGGUUGAAAUCAAUCAAGGUGUUCAAAUAAUAAGCACAGAUUCAAGUCUUUUAACAUAUGCUCAAUAUAAAUAAGUGCUUUCUUGUGUUCUUGCACAGAAUUAGGUAGUUAAGAUGCCAAAAAUCUCCCUGAAACGCGUCAAUGAUAGAAACCUUUAGAGCAAAUGGUAGAACUUUAAUCUCUGGCUUUGGAUCCGACAUUUAGCGUUUUUAGUCGUAGAAUUAAGAUCUCACCUCGACAUCGCAUUGUACAUAUUACCUCAUAGUUUUUGGGAUUCAGAGCAUUCUAUUUUAAUCCAUAAAAUUGUAUUUGAUUAGAGUUUUAGAAGCAAUAACCUACAAUAAUGCAUGAGUUUAGUGCCAGGGUGUUUAAAGUGUUUAAAGGAUUCUGUAACGUUCCGUGGAAAGGAUCCCCCUUCUCCCACUCUCUUUACGCCUAUGCUUGCUAUCUUUAUUAUUUUCCAGAGUCAUAUAUUUGGCUUUAAAAGCAGCGUUGGGGUUUGGGAUGCCUCCCGCAGACAUGUGAGGACAGCUGUAGCAUCGUGGUGUGAGCAUCCACAGAUUCAACCACUUAUUUCCCUGCCUUGUUUGACACCAAAACAACAAUCCAAACUGAUCGGUACAUGAGAGAUGCUUUAAGAUUUCAACCCUUGUAGCAUUUUUACAUCCGCACAAACAGCCCCCGCCUCUUACCGACAGACUUUUCAGUAACUCUGUGGCUGCAAAGACUCACUGGCCGAACUUGAAAGCACUUUCUCUCUAUGUACUGACUUGCACCGUCAUCAUCUCCAUCCUGUCUUCGAGUACUGUGUUCCUGAAAAACCCUGUAAUGCUCUUUUCCUGGGGAUUUAUAAUCGCGAUUUAUAAGCAAGUAGGCGUCUAGCAACACAUGAAUAUAUGGGUUUAAAAAAUAUGCAUGACUUAGCAGAAUAACGAAUGACUUGUAUUGCAUGCAAUAAUCCAACUUUGUAAUGUGAAUGAGUGUAAUUAGGAUACUGAGAUGUUCAUAUCAAAUGUUCUGUGACGGUUCGUUUGGCACAGCAGCGACAGAAGCAGCUUCGUGCAUCACUUGUGGUUUUACAGACUGACUGCUUAGUCAUGAUACGAGUUUCUGCCGCGUCGCUCUCUGUUGUGUCAGACGUGAGCUGGCGGUACAGCCACAGUGCAGCUGAAAAACACAGAUCAACCUUUGUUCCCAUGAAGAAAAAAAAAGAGAAAAUAAGAACAAAAGCUUAGGUGAGAUUACCGACAUUACUUUGUUGAUCAACUUUUCCACUGAGGAAGUGGACUGUGUAGAAACUAUGCACUCCAAAGGGAGGAAAUGGGCAUGCUUAUUAUGUGUGAGCCUCUUGUCUGGUUUUGUAUCAACUUAAUAUGAAAAAAUAUGAAUCUGUAUCAGAAAUUCAGCAAUAAAAUGCAGCAUGGUGCCAAUUGGA